rnacentral:rRNA from 1 species
GACGAACGCUGGCGGCGUGCUUAACACAUGCAAGUCGAACGGAAAGGCUCCAGCUUGCUGGAGUACUCGAGUGGCGAACGGGUGAGUAACACGUGGGUAAUCUGCCCUGCACUCUGGGAUAAGCCUGGGAAACUGGGUCUAAUACUGGAUAUGACCUUUCUCCUUAUGGGGUUUGGUGGAAAGUUUUUCGGUGUAGGAUGAGCCCGCGGCCUAUCAGCUUGUUGGUGGGGUGAUGGCCUACCAAGGCGACGACGGGUAGCCGGCCUGAGAGGGUGAUCGGCCACAUUGGGACUGAGAUAUGGCCCAGACUCCUACGGGAGGCAGCAGUGGGGAAUAUUGCACAAUGGGCGGAAGCCUGAUGCAGCGACGCCGCGUGAGGGAUGACGGCCUUCGGGUUGUAAACCUCUUUCAGCAGGGACGAAGCGUAAGUGACGGUACCUGCAGAAGAAGCACCGGCUAACUAUGUG